GUUUUUUUAAAUAAAUAAUUGAAAUGAACCAAAAUCCAAACUUUCUAUGAAUUGAUAAUUGAAUCGAACUGUUUAAAUCAAAAAAUGGAACUGAAAUUGUAGCUUACUCGCCCUUAAUCCUAAAUCCUACAUCUAAUUACAAUGCUUUCAAUUAAAAUUUUUUAAACAUUAAAAAUCAAAAUAUACGAAUCGAUUUAGGAUGCGCCCUGGUGAUUCAGCAGGCUUACAUUAACAGCCACGAUUCUCCUCCUUCGGAAGUUAAAAAGAACUCUGAUCAAAGGAAAGACCUCACCCAUCGUGACUUCCUGUUCCUGUCGCCCCACAAUAUGUCAAGUCAUUGCCUUCUUCGGAACCAAAUUUGGUGAACAAGCAAUUUCAAGUAUAUAAAAAAGCGGUGGGUUAUUGUUGUUUGUAUCCAUGUGUUUUCCACUAUUAUUUUUAUCUUUAUACAUUUAAUCCUAGCCUUUAGAUAUAUUACGCUAAUUAUCUUUAUACCCUUUUCACUUUUUUGCUCCUACACUCGAUUAUCACAUGUAUCAAUACCUCCAUGUACACAUGUAUCAUAACCAAUAACCACAAGGGGUAAAGGCAUGUGCAUCGAAGGAAAAAAGAAGAGCUUGGAACAUUACACGUUACAGCACCUGGUACAGUUUCUUUCUCAUUUCACUUCUUCCUUUCAACAGCAGGUCAACCAUUUUUUUCAGCCAGUCCUAACAUAACAAUAUAAAGAGUUAGUAGAAAAGUAGAAGGAUGAAUUCCAAGGCAGCCACACAAAAAAUACUGCCAUCAUUCCCAUCCGUUUCCACUCGAAUACAACCAUCUUUGAAUUCCAAAUUAAAAAAGGCCCGAGUAAGACACCUACAUCACCUGAAUACGUAUUACGCUCCAUUCCACAACAAGCAGACUAUAAUGCCUGUGGCCAGUCGCUUCUCAAGGAGCCGGAAGUAAACCAGCAUUAUGCUCUUGACAAAGCAGGAACUGAUCUUAAUAAGUUCGACUGCAUCAACAACAUAGCAUGAAAACAAGAAUGCAGCACCAAUUCUGUAAACAGUACUGGACAAAUUUGCACAUAUGUACCAAAUAUUCCAGUGCUGUUUGAGAACAAGUACUAGUAGUGCAUAACACUGAGUGCAGCUCCUUUAAGAUAGCAGCCCAAUUCUUCGCAGCCAAUUAAAGAAGCUCUAAAACCCUCAACCAAGGAGGUUUAAAUAAGAACUCUUUUUCACAGACCAAAGGACAUCAUUGCCAAGUUCUUAAAAUCCAAUAUAGAUUGACAAACACAUACAGCAAGUUACUACUCAAAAACAUGUUCCAGAUUUCCUCUUCACCUGUAUUUUAAACAUUUUCAGGCUGACUGAAGCAGAUAGAUUCCAAAACUAUAAUAUACUACAUCAGGAGCCAUAUGGAAUACUCAGGGGAACUAAAAUUUCCCUGGACAGAAUACAAAAAGAGAGGUAAUUUACGAAACUAACUCAACCAUCAAAAUCAAUUGCACCAUGAACAAGGGACAAGUUCUGACAGGGGGGGGGGGGGGGGGGGGGG
rnacentral:misc_RNA from 1 species